rnacentral:tRNA from 1 species
GUAUGGAAUAUUUACAUUGGUAAU